rnacentral:rRNA from 1 species
UACAGAGGUGGCAAGCGUUGUUCGGAAUUACUGGGCGUAAAGGGCGCGUAGGCGGUUCCGUAAGUUCCGCGUGAAAUCCCCCGGCUCAACCGGGGAAUGGCGCGGAAAACUGUGGGCUUGAGUUCGGGAGAGGGAAGCGGAAUUCCGGGUGUAGCGGUGAAAUGCGUAGAUAUCCGGAGGAACACCGGUGGCGAAGGCGGCUCCUGGACCGACACUGACGCUGAGGCGCGAAAGCUAGGGGAGCAAACGGG